UAACUUAUUUUUUAAGAAGUGUGCAAAAUUUGAGUUAAGAUCAAUGAUUUAUUCAUUAAUUAUUGAGAUUUAAAUCUAUUAUAAGAAUUAUAAGGAUUUGGUUAGGGAUUGAUUUAGGAUUUAGAGUUUGGUUAGGAUUUGAUUUAGGAUUUAGGAUUUGAUUUAGAAUUUGGUUGAGAUUUGGUUUAGGAUUUGAUUUAGGUUUAGGAUUUGAUUUAGGAUUAGGGUUUGAUUAGGAUUUGAUAAGGGUUUGAUUAGGAUUUGAUAAGGGUUUGAUUAGGAUUUGAUAAGGGUUUGAUUUAGGAUUUAUUUAGGGUUUGAGAUUUGGUUUAGAUUUUGGUUAGGAUUUUAUUUAGAUUUUAGGAUUUUGUUUAGGAUUUGGUUAGGAUUUGAUUUAGAAUUUGAUUGAGAUUUGGUUUAAGAUUUGUUUAGGAUUUAGGGUUUGAUUUAGGAUUUAGGAUUUUAUUAGGGUUUAAGAUUUAAUUAGUUUUGGUCUAAAGUUUGAAUGAAGUCCAAUAGGAUUUUAAUUAGAAUUAAAUUAAGAUUGAAAUGAGAUGUAUUUGAGAGAUAUUUGUGAUCAUUUCAAUUAUUUCUUUAAGAUUUCUUAUUAUUUCUUAUUAUUUCUUUGAGGUUGUUUUGAAUUUGAUUAAAGCUUGCUUAGCAUUAUUAUGGUCUAAUUAGAGUUUAGUUAGUAUUCUAUUAGAGUUAAGAUU
rnacentral:lncRNA from 1 species